UACGUAGGGAGCAAGCGUUGUCCGGAAUCAUUGGGCGUAAAGCGCGCGUAGGUGGCUUCAUAAGUCCGUUGUGAAAGUCAAAGGCUCAACCUUUGAAAGCCGAUGGAUACUGUGAAGCUAGAGUACGGAAGAGGCGAGUGGAAUUCCUGGUGUAGCGGUGGAAUGCGCAGAUAUCAGGAGGAACACCAAUAGCGAAGGCAGCUCGCUGGGACGGUACUGACACUGAGACGCGAAAGCGUGGGAGCAAACAGG
rnacentral:rRNA from 1 species